rnacentral:rRNA from 1 species
AUUGAACGCUGGCGGCAGGCCUAACACAUGCAAGUCGAACGAGUGGCGGACGGGUGAGUAAUGUCUGGGAAACUGCCCGAUGGAGGGGGAUCACUACUGGAAACGGUAGCUAAUACCGCAUACCAUCGGAUGUGCCCCGAUGGGAUUAGCUAGUAGGUGGGGUAACGGCUCACCUAGGCGACGAUCCCUAGCUGGUCUGAGAGGAUGACCAGCCACACUGGAACUGAGACACGGUCCAGACUCCUAGGGGAGGCAGCAGUGGGGAAUAUUGCACAAGGGGAGAAAGCCGGAUGCAGCCAGGCGGCGUGGAUGAAGAAGGCCUUCGGGUUGUAAAGUACUUUCAGCGAGGAGGCGUUACUAGCAGAAGAAGCACCGGCUAACUCCGUGCCAGCAGCCGCGGUAAUUC